rnacentral:rRNA from 1 species
GGCUUGAGUCUUGUAGAGGGGGGUAGAAUUCCAGGUGUAGCGGUGAAAUGCGUAGAGAUCUGGAGGAAUACCGGUGGCGAAGGCGGCCCCCUGGACAAAGACUGACGCUCAGGUGCGAAAGCGUGGGGAGCAAACAGGAUUAGAUACCCUGGUAGUCCACGCCGUAAACGAUGUCUACUUGGAGGUUGUGCCCUUGAGGCGUGGCUUCCGGAGCUAACGCGUUAAGUAGACCGCCUGGGGAGUACGGCCGCAAGGUUAAAACUCAAAUGAAUUGACGGGGGCCCGCACAAGCGGUGGAGCAUGUGGUUUAAUUCGAUGCAACGCGAAGAACCUUACCUGGUCUUGACAUCCACAGAACUUUCCAGAGAUGGAUUGGUGCCUUCGGGAACUGUGAGACAGGUGCUGCAUGGCUGUCGUCAGCUCGUGUUGUGAAAUGUUGGGUUAAGUCCCGCAACGAGCGCAACCCUUAUCCUUUGUUGCCAGCG